GACGAACGCUGGCGGCGUGCUUAACACAUGCAAGUCGAACGGUAGGGCUCCAGCUUGCUGGGGUACACGAGUGGCGAACGGGUGAGUAACACGUGGGUGACCUGCCCUGCACUUCGGGAUAAGCCUGGGAAACUGGGUCUAAUACCGGAUAGGACCGCACCGUGAGGGUGUGGUGGAAAGUUUUUUCGGUGUGGGAUGGGCCCGCGGCCUAUCAGCUUGUUGGUGGGGUAAUGGCCUACCAAGGCGGCGACGGGUAGCCGGCCUGAGAGGGUGGACGGCCACAUUGGGACUGAGACACGGCCCAGACUCCUACGGGAGGCAGCAGUGGGGAAUAUUGCACAAUGGGCGGAAGCCUGAUGCAGCGACGCCGCGUGGGGGAUGACGGCCUUCGGGUUGUAAACUCCUUUCACCAUCGACGAAGGGUUUCUGACGGUAGAUGGAGAAGAAGCACCGGCUAACUACGUG
rnacentral:rRNA from 1 species